rnacentral:rRNA from 1 species
CUUACGGGAUUGCAAUGAGAACAAUUUAAAUCACUUAACGAGGGUCAAUUGGAGGGCAAGUCUGGUGCCAGCAGCCGCGGUAAUUCCAGCUCCAAUAGUGUAUAUUAAAGUUGUUGCAGUUAAAAAGCUCGUAGUUGAACUUCUGGCUGCGCGCAGUUCGGCGUUCUCGCCAGCUGCGUUCGCAGUCAUCCGUCUGCGAACUCCGAACAACCUUCAGUGGCUUGGCGGGGGGAGUAGACAUUUUACUUUGAAAAAAUUAGAGUGUUUCAAGCAGGUUAUUGCCAGAAUACUUUAGCAUGGAAUAAUGGAAUAGGACUCUUGUCCAUUUGGUUGGUUAUUGGACCAGAGUAAUGAUUAACAGGGACAGUUGGGGGCAUUAGUAUUUAAUUGUCAGAGGUGAAAUUCAUGGAUUUAUAAAGGACUAACUUAUGCGAAAGCAUUUGCCAAGGAUGUUUUCAUUAAUCAAGAACGAAAGUUAGGGGAUCAAAGACGAUCAGAUACCGUCCUAGUCUUAACUAUAAACGAUGUCGACUCGGGAUUGGAAAGGUAUGUGUAUCCUUUCCAGCACCGUAUGAGAAAUCAUUAAGUCUUUGGAUUCUGGGGGGAGUAUGGUCGCAAGGCUGAAACUUAAAGGAAUUGACGGAAGAGCACCACCAGGCGUGGGACCUGCGGCUUAAUUUGACCCAACACGGGAAAACUUAUUUCAGCAAAACAUGAGUGGGAUUGACAGAUUGAGAGCUCUUUCUUGAUUUUAUGGGGUGUGGUGCAUGGCCGUUCUUAGUUGUGGAGUGAUUUGUCUGGUUAAUUCCGUUAACGAACGAGACCUUAACCUGCUAACUAGUCAGCGCGUUAACCUACGCUCUGUACUUCUUAGAGGGACUAUGGGUAAUAAGCCCAUGGAAGUUUGAGGCAAUAACAGGUCUGUGAUGCCCAUAGAUGUUGAAAGCGGCACGCGCGUCAUACUGUCCAGUAACAGCAAGUUUACUUCCUCUCCCGGCAGGGUAGGGGUAAUCUACAAAACUGGACGUGGUAGGGAUAGAUCUUUGGAAUUAUAGAUCUUGAACGAAGAAUGCCUAGUAAGUACAAGUCAUCAACUUGUGCUGAUUACGUCCCUGUCCUUUGUACACACCGCCCGUCGCUCCUACCGAUUUCGAGCGAUAUGGUGAAUCUCCUGGACCGUGGAGCUCCUCGUGGGCUUCGUGGAAAGUUUAGUAAACCUUAUCGCUUAGAGGAAGGAAAAGUCGUAACAAGGUA